AGGUCGAAAGAAUACUUAUAUCCAUAUCCUUUACAAGCUACUCUUGACAACAGAGUGCUCUAUAGUUAGUCACGUUCAUAGAGAUAUAGUCCUACAUCUCACUUGCAUGCCAUACCAGUAUCUCCAUACUAUUUGGUUACGAGGACAAGCAACUCAUAUGGCACACAAGGACCUACACUUGAUAUUGCUAUCGUCCUAGUAAUAGC
rnacentral:lncRNA from 1 species